rnacentral:rRNA from 1 species
GUCUACGGCUAUGCCAUCCUGAACAAGCCCGAGCUUGUCUGAUCUAGGAAGCUAAGCAGGGUCAGGCCUGGUUAGUACUUGGAUGGGAGACCCAGAAAGACUGGGUGCCGUAGGCG